GACGAACCGUGCGAACGUUGUUCGGAUUCACUGGGCUUAAAGGGCGCGUAGGCGGGCAUCCAAGUCAGGGGUGAAAUCUUUCGGCCCGACCGGAAAAGUGCCUUUGAUACUGGGAUGCCUCGAGGGAGGUAGGGGCAUGGUGGAACUUCCGGGUGGAGCGGUGAAAUGCGUAGAUAUCGGAAGGAAGGCCCGGUGGCGAAAGCGGAAGCCGUGCUGG
rnacentral:rRNA from 1 species